CCUACGGGUGGCAGCAGUGAGGAAUAUUGGUCAAUGGACGAGAGUCUGAACCAGCCAAGUAGCGUGAAGGAUGACUGCCCUAUGGGUUGUAAACUUCUUUUAUAUGGGAAUAAAACGUUCCACGUGUGGGAUUUUGUAUGUACCAUAUGAAUAAGGAUCGGCUAACUCCGUGCCAGCAGCCGCGGUAAUACGGAGGAUCCGAGCGUUAUCCGGAUUUAUUGGGGUUAAAGGGAGCGUAGGUGGAUUGUUAAGUCAGUUGUGAAAGUUUGCGGCUUAACCGGAAAAUUGCAGUUGAAACUGGCAGUCUUGAGUACAGGAGAGGUGGGCGGAAUUCGUGGUGUAGCGGUGAAAUGCUUAGAUAUCACGAAGAACUCCGAUUGCGAAGGCAGUUCACUGGACUGCAACUGACACUGAGGCUCGAAAGUGUGGGUAUCAAACAGGAUUAGAUACCCGAGUAGUC
rnacentral:rRNA from 1 species